UUCCAGACUCCUACGGGAGGCAGCAGUGAGGAAUAUUGGUCAAUGGUCGGGAGACUGAACCAGCCAAGCCGCGUGAGGGAGGAAGGUACAGAGUAUCGUAAACCUCUUUUGUCAGGGAACAAAGGCGGGGACGUGUCCCCGGAUGAGUGUACCUGAAGAAAAAGCAUCGGCUAACUCCGUGCCAGCAGCCGCGGUAAUACGGAGGAUGCGAGCGUUAUCCGGAUUUAUUGGGUUUAAAGGGUGCGCAGGCGGUCUGUUAAGUCAGCGGUCAAAGCCCGGGGCUCAACACCGGCCUGCCGUUGAAACUGGUCUUCUUGAGUGAGCGAGAAGUAUGCGGAAUGCGUGGUGUAGCGGUGAAAUGCAUAGAUAUCACGCAGAACUCCGAUUGCGAAGGCAGCAUACCGGCGCUCAACUGACGCUGAGGCACGAAAGCGUGGGGAUCGAACAGGAUUAGAUACCCUUGUAC
rnacentral:rRNA from 1 species